UUGAAAGGAGAGGUGCCGCGAGAGGCGUGGAAGGCGGCGACGUGGAUAGGCUGGAUGUGCAAGGGCGGUAACGCGCUGAGCUGAGCAGUGGUAAUCGGUCGAUCGGCUUGAUCGCUCUCAUGAU
rnacentral:rRNA from 1 species